AUCCCUUCCCCAGGAGCACCCACUGCUUUCCAGGAAAAGACAACAAAAAGCAGCAAUUGAGAAUCCAGGAAUGGCUCGUCGUGUGUAGGCGCUGAAGAGCUGUAGCGGGAGAUCCGAGUCUCGUGCAACGCAGACCAGCUUCACUCACUCACUGCCAGCCAACCACUGACUCUCCAAGCCGCACCACAUCGUCCACACAGCCGACUUUUGUGCUCACAACGCACACAAGCCCCGUCGUACGUGUCUCACAAAUCGAUGAACGACCAAGAAUUCUUCUCCACAGUUCACGGCCCAAGUAACACACCCGAACAACUUCUCACGAACACAUGGGCAAACCCGAUAUGCCGCAUCUCACUCCACGAACACCUGACCACCGCGCAACAGAGCGAGAUGCAACCACCGACAGCACACAUCAAAGGGGGACGCAUGCGUGUAUUGGAGCAUGUCACGUAUUCACCACUUGCGUGACUCACGUAAUUUCAGAGUUUUUUUUUUAAUUCUCUUAUGUUCCAUUCUUCAUGAUUGCCCUCUCGCUCGGACAACCACGGGAAGUGGGCAGAAGUGCUGGGGGCUAGAGCGAGGCAGGAGAUGACGAUUACGGACCCUCGCAAACGCGGAGGUGACACCGAGUCAUGAAAUCCAGAGUGGAAUUGGCGCGUUCGUCACGAUUUUGCUCGUGGUCGAGCGGAUGGGAAAUUCAGGGGCACCUCAGAAGGCAAAAUCAUGCACCUCUGUUCAAAAAUUGUGACGUCACUUCUUUAAUUUUUAGUAAAGAAUUAUUAAAGAGUGUUAUUUUAUCAA